UACGUAGGGAGCAAGCGUUGUUCGGAUUUACUGGGCGUAAAGGGCGCGUAGGCGGCGCGGUAAGUCACUUGUGAAAUCUCUGAGCUUAACUCAGAACGGCCAAGUGAUACUGCAGUGCUAGAGUGCAGGAAGGGGCAAUCGGAAUUCUUGGUGUAGCGGUGAAAUGCGUAGAUAUCAAGAGGAACACCUGAGGUGAAGACGGGUUGCUGGGCCAACACUGACGCUGAGGCGCGAAAGCCAGGGGAGCAAACGGG
rnacentral:rRNA from 1 species